rnacentral:misc_RNA from 1 species
AACUCUCCAAUUCUAUAGUUUUUUCUAUAGAAUCUGGGUCCUUGGGUUUGCAUGGGUACCCCAUGCUUACCUUAAAUGUAUUAGCUGAAUACCAGCAGGGUUGUUAAGUUUUUUUCACCCUCGGAAGAAGGUAUUUGCUUCCAAUCUGCGCUGUCUUUUGUAGACAGGCAUUUUGUAUCU